rnacentral:rRNA from 1 species
GACGAACGCUGGCGGCGUGCUUUUCACAUGCAAGUCGAACGAUGAAGCCUAGCUUGCUAGGUGGAUUAGUGGCGAACGGGUGAGUAAUACGUGAGUGACCUACCUUUGGCUCUGGGAUAAGCCUGGGAAACUGGGUCUAAUACCGGAUACGACCAAUCUCCGCAUGGGGUGUUGGUGGAAAGCGUUAUGGAGUGGUUUUAUAUGGGCUCACGGCCUAUCAGCUUGUUGGUGAGGUAAUGGCUUACCAACGCGACGACGGGUAGCCGGCCUGAGAGGGUGACCGGCCACACUGGGACUGACACACGGCCCAGACUCCUACCGGAGGCAGCAGUGGGGAAUAUUGCUCAAUGGUCGCAAGCCUGAUGCAACGACGCCGCGUGAGGGAUGACGGACUGCGGGUUGUAUACCUCUGUUAGCAUCCUAGAACCUAAAGUGACAGUAGGUGCAGAGAAAGCGCCGGCUAACUACGUGCCAGCAGCCGCGGUAAUACGUAGGGCGCGAGCGUUGGCCGGAAUAUUGGGCGUAAAGAGCUUGUAGGCGGUUGGUCGCGUCUGCUGUGAAGGCUGGGGCUUAACCCUGGUUUUGCAGUGGGUACGGGCUAACUAGAGUGCAGUAGGGGAGACUGGAAUUCCUGGUGUAGCGGUGGAAUGCGCAGAUAUCAGGAGGAACACCGAUGGCGAAGGCAGGUCUCUGGGCUGUAACUGACGCUGAGAAGCGAAAGCAUGGGGAGCGAACAGGAUUAGAUACCCUGGUAGUCCAUGCCGUAAACGUUGGGCACUAGGUGUGGGGGACAUUCCACGUUUUCCGCGCCGUAGCUAACGCAUUAAGUGCCCCGCCUGGGGAGUACGGCCGCAAGGCUAAAACUCAAAGAAAUUGACGGGGGCCCGCACAAGCGGCGGAGCAUGCGGAUUAAUUCGAUGCAACGCGAAGAACCUUACCAAGGCUUGACAUAUACUGGACUGCGUCAGAGAUGGCGUUUCCCUUCGGGGCUGGUAUACAGGUGGUGCAUGGUUGUCGUCAGCUCGUGUCGUGAGAUGUUGGGUUAAGUCCCGCAACGAGCGCAACCCUCGUUCUAUGUUGCCAGCACGUGAUGGUGGGGACUCAUAGGAGACUGCCGGGGUUAACUCGGAGGAAGGUGGGGAUGACGUCAAAUCAUCAUGCCCCUUAUGUCUUGGGCUUCACGCAUGCUACAAUGGCCGGUACAGAGGGUUGCGAUACUGUGGGGUGGAGCUAAUCCCUAAAAGCCGGUCUCAGUUCGGAUUGGGGUCUGCAACUCGACCCCAUGAAGUCGGAGUCGCUAGUAAUCGCAGAUCAGCAACGCUGCGGUGAAUACGUUCCCGGGCCU